CGGGCGUGGGGCGGAGAGGGUGCGGGACCCGGGCCGACCCCUCACCGCCGGCUUCUCCAGGUCUGAGUACAACGCCUUCUGGAAAUGCGUCCAGGCCGGGGUCACCUACCUCUUUGUGCAGCUAUGUAAGGUGAGGGACUCCGGGACUCCGGGACUCCACGUGUCUAGUCUCCAGGCAUUCCAGAUCUCAGGGACCCGACUCUGCCUCUGUCACCUUCCAUAGGACCACCCUCGAGACAACACUUAGGGAGUAUGCACGAAUACCUUAGAAGGGAUGCAAGCCCUGAUGCAACUUUUUCUUAGCACUGUUGUAAAAUGAGAAAACCUCUUAGAGCGAUAUUUCACCCACAAGGUGCCACUUGGUGCUGCCUAUGCUACGCAUGCAUUCACUUUGGCAUUUCUAGACAUCAGAUUCCCCCGUGAACUCCUAGACUUCUAGAAACCAGGCACCUGCCCUCUAUCUCCCCAGAUCUUGCGAUCUUGCCACUUACACCUAGAAUGACCCUCAGAACUCAGCACCGUGCCCUCUACUUGCACACUCACUUUCCACAAUAUCCAUGUAAUUUUGUUUUUAAUCUCCCUCACCUUCCGGUGACCUUUCUACUUUCUGAUCUCAGAUGUUGUUCUUGGCCACUUUCUUCCCCACCUGGGAAGGGGGCAUCUAUGACUUCAUUGGGGUAAGUCGAACAAGGGAGGGGAGAGGGAGUGCAGGAGUGGGUUUUCCUGGGCCCUGUGUUUACUCGAGCCUCUACCUGACCCACAGGAAUUCAUGAAGGCCAGUGUGGAUGUGGCAGACCUGAUAGGCCUAAACCUUGUCAUGUCCCGGAAUGCAGGCAAGGGGGAGUACAAGAUCAUGGUUGCUGCCCUGGGCUGGGCCACUGCUGAACUCAUUAUG
rnacentral:lncRNA from 1 species